UCUAGAUAGUCAAGUUCUGAUCCAG
rnacentral:piRNA from 3 species